rnacentral:misc_RNA from 1 species
AACGCAUAUUGCACUCUCUGGUAUUCCGGAGAGUAUGCCUGUUUCAGUAUCAUUAAAUACCCUCAAAACUUCCAAAGGAGGAGUUUUGGAUUUGAGCACUGCCGAAACCCUUAAGUUUCCUUUGGGAAUCGGCCUGCUUGAAAUGGAUAGUUUUCAUGGCAGGAUCCAGGGGAAUAUUCUUUAUUCCUGGGCGAAAAAGGCGUAAUAGUUGACUUUUUUGUCAUCUUUCGCUGAAAGCCCCCUCAUUUUUAUUUGGCUGGAAAAAAGCUCUGUUGUGCAAAUUCGCAGGAAAAUUUUUUUUCAAAAGUAAUCUUGAUCUGAAAUCAGGUAGGACUACCCGCUGAACUUAA